AAAGGGGAAAAAACCCUUGAACUUCCGGGCUGCACUCUUACCGAAAAAUACCUCCACAACCACCGUCUUCGUCGGCUGUGCCACCUAAACACCACCAUUGGCUCUAUUUCUCCUUCUUCUACAUCAUAACAAACAAAAGCAAAAAAACCCUUGAACUUUCAGUCUCCCAUUUCCAUUCCCGAAAAACACUUCCACCGCUGACAUCUUCAUCUACUGUGCCACCCAAUAACCACCAUCGGCCCACCACUCAUUCAUCUACCAAUUCUUCCACAACGUCGUUUUACAAACCCAGCGCGGUAUCCGCUACGACUACUCCAAGUGAAACUAAAGAAAAUGUCACCGUUUCUUUACGAUUUCGGCUCCUUAGGAGUGUUGCUGACUUGAUGAAUGGCCUUAGCCUCUAGAGGAGUGUAAAAUAGCAUAUAUCUGCAGAGAGGCAUUCAAGGUACCAUCAUUUUGAGAUCAUGGGAAAGGGCAAAAAUGGCAUCAUCGCUGGAUGAAGUUGUUGUGGUAACGGAUGAUAAUAAGAUUGUAGAAUGCUAUAGAGGAUUUGGCGCGGAUGUGAUAUUGACAUCAGAAUCAUGUCAAAUUGGCACAGAGCAUUGUAAUGAAGUACAUCAAAAGCUUGGGAACAAGUUCAAUAUUGUAUUCAAGUGGAUGAACCUCUUAUUGAACCUAAAAUAAUGGAUGGCAUGGUAAAGGCUCUUCAGAUUACUUCUGUUAUGGAUCAUGUUGGAGUUCAAGAUCCAAUAG